CUCACACCUGGAGGAGCCCUGUCACUCUGGAGCUGGGACCUGUGAGAAGGACAGUGAGCACGUGAUUGUCCUCUCCAGGUCUCCACUGACAGCGGUUCCCUUAGGGGGCGGAACUCCAACUGAAGCUGAAAGGAUUGUGUUCUGACGCCGAGGCACAAGGGAGAAUGAGGAGGAAAUACCAGAGGUCAAGGGUUCCACGGAGGACAUGCCCCUGAAUCAGCCCGUAGGGGCAAGACGAGGGAGCAGGCUGAGGCCCAGAAAGAAGCUCUGAAUCUAAAGUGCCCCACUGAUUCAUUCCAGAUUUAUUAAAAAGGUGCAUCUUGGAGAAUUCUAUCAGCAAACCGAGCCUCUUCGUUCUUUUGUAACAUGAUCCCUGAUGCUGCGGAAGAGACGGAAAUUAUUCAUUUCACCGAUUCUUACUGAUGGACGUUUGAGCUGUUUCUAGGGUUUGGGUUUUUUGUUUGUUGGUUUGGUUUGGUUUUGGUGUGACAACAAUGUUGCGAUAAUCCCGUAGCUGCCAUCUCAUACGCACCCACGUAUAGGUGCAGAAUAAAUUUCCCCAAAUGGUUUGCUGGCUUGUGGGUGCUGUAUUCGUUUUCUAUGGCUGCUUAGCUCACAGGGCAUUAUGGCCGUAUUAGCUCACAGUCUGCUGGUCAGAAGGCCAGCCCCCUGUGGUGGGUGCCCUGCUCAGGUCAAAUCAAGGGGUUGUCAAGGCUUAGUUCUCGUCCUCUGGAGGCUCUGGGGGAAAACCUGUUUCCAAGCUCAUUGCUGUCAUUUGCAGAGUUUGGUUCCUGGUGGUCAUGGAACUGAGAUCUCUGGGUUUCUGGGUGGCCAUCAACUGGUGGUCUCCCUCGGCUCCUCGAUGACAUCUAUAUUCUUUGCUGUGUGGCUUCCCCCAAAUGGCACGAUGAAUUCUUCUCAGGCUUCAAAUCUCUGACUUCUCCUUCUGAGACCAGCCAGAGAAAAUUCUGUCUUUAAAGGGCUUCCCUGAUCUGGUCCAGCCCACUCAAUGUAAUCUCUACCUUAAAAUCAACUGAUAGAGGACCUUACUUACAUCUGCAAAAAUCUCUUUGCCAUAGAAUGAAACAUAAUUCUUGAGUUCACAUUUUCUCAUAUUCACAGAUUCUGCCCAUGUUGCAAGAGAUCACACAAAGGUGAAAGCCAUGAGAGUCGCCUUAGAAUUCUGCCUAACACAGAUGUAUUUGUAAUGUUUAUAGAUAUUGCCAUUUUGUCCCCCACAGGGAUUGUGCUGAGAGAACGCCCCUCCCCCAGCGAUGAUGAGCUUGCCUUCUUUUCCAGCGUCACCUAAAGGAUGCUAUUCAACUUUUGGCUUUCUGCCAAUUGGAUGGGUGAAAAAUGGAACCUACGUGUAUUUUAAAUUUGUGGUUAUCUUAUGAAUAAGGCUGCGGAUUUCUUCAAAAGCCUCAAAGCCAUUGAGAGCUCUUUUUUCAGUAGAGCUUCUGGUUUUGAGUCCUAGAAAGGGCUUUCUAACUGUAAAGUCAAUCAAAAAUCCUCCUAUGUUUUCUUCUGAUGUUUUUAUGGUUUCAUGUUUUGAUCCACUGGUUCUUGGAACCGGCAGCUUCCCUCGUCAUUUCCUCAGCAGCGAGUACAAAGCUGGACCCCAAAGGGCUUGCGGAUUGGGGUAGAGGAAGAAGCUACCAUGGUGGGACUCUCUAAAUGCUGGGCUCCGUGAGCUCUGCCAGAGAUCCCAGCCAGCAGAGCUUCCCGCUUCCCUUCCUCCAGCACUCAUUGUGUCCUAGGGUUGGCCCAGGGGACCCAGAGGUAAGGGGGUCCCUGCCCUGCCUGAAGAUCUCCCGGUCUGGAGAGUGAGACGAGCACAUGGCCAGAAGAGAGUCCAGAUAGAGAAUGAAGCUAAGGGCACAGGAGAGGGGGAGGGGGAUUCUGGUGGGGGUAUUUGGGAAGCUUCAGGGAAGAGUUGGCCUCUGACCCGAGCCUUAAGGAGGGGAAAUGUAAUGGUGGUGAUGGGGGGAGGGGCCCAGCAGGAGCAAAGACAGGGAGAUGGGAAUAUCAGCCUGAAGUGUAGGCUGGAGAGAAGGAUUUAGUGAUACAUGAGGUCCUCAAGGGUAAGGACAGGGUAUGACUUAUCUCCAUGCAUCAGCCAGAGUUUGAUAAAUGAAAUGAAGCAGAAGGGACACGGGUCUUUGAAUCCCAGGCUUAAUCAUUUUUCCUUUACAGUGAGAAGCAAAGACCUCCAAGAAGAAGCCCUUGGCUCUGCCCUCAUUCAGCUCAGAACCUGGUCACUCUCUGCACACCACUGCCCCCUUGCGGCAGAUCUGGGAGUUCUCCAUGACUAGCCUCAGGAGUCAGGUGGAGGCGGAGGGAAUCUGGGAACUGAAGGUGGGGAGGAAGCUGAGUGGCAUCUCAGAGCUUUGAAAAACCAUGAAAUCCUAGUCUGAGAACGUCUGAGUCCAACAGGCCCUCAGGGGCCAUGUGGCCUGACUUCUUCAUUAUGUAUGGAGAAACCAAGUCUCAAUAAGGAUGCUGCCAGGGAGUAGAAAGCACCAGACUCAGUUAAGAUUCAAAAAGCCCAGCAGGGGCGCCUGGGUGGCACAGAGGUUAAGCGUCUGCCUUCACGCUCAGGGCGUGAUCCCGGCGUUCUGGAAUCGAGCCCCACAUCAGGCUCCUCCGCUGG